rnacentral:rRNA from 1 species
GACGAACGCUGGCGGUGUGCUUCACACAUGCAAGUCGAACGGGGUAGCAAUACCCAGUGGCGGACGGGUGAGUAACGCGUAGGAAUCUGCCUUGAGAUGGGGGAUAACAGUCCGAAAGGACUGCUAAUACCGCAUAUGUAUGUAUCUCGACAGAGGUGUAUAUGAAAGGAGUAAUCCGUCUUAAGAUGAGCCUUGCGUCCGAUUAGCUAGUUGGUAGGGUAAAAGCCACCAAGGCGACGAUCGGUAGCUGGUCUGAGAGGAUGAUCAGCCACAAUAGGGGCUGAGACACGGCCCAUACUCCUACGGGAGGCAGCAGUGGGGAAUUUUGUGCAAUGGGCGAAAGCCUGACACAGCGACACCGCGUGAGCGAAGAAGCCCUUUGGGGGUGUAAAGCUCUGUCGGCUGGAACGAAAAAAUGACGGUACCAGCAAAGGAAG